UAGAGAGAUGAAUCUGUGUGAAAUGGCAAUGUUUUGUAAAUGAAGUUAAAUGUAUUAAAAGUCUUCAUUUCCUCUUGUGGAGACUUUUGUGAUGUUCUGUACAAUAGACCUGAUUUAAUAAGGGUGUAAACUCAGAGUGAUAAAUGGACUGUUUCCUUUCUUCCAGUUGAUCCCACCAUCAGUUCUGUCUCACACACCACACACUUCACUCCAACCCAUGGGGACACGACACAUUCAGUAACAGAUAAGUUACUAACUUAUACUACCCACAAAACCCUCAUCACUUCCUCAUCUCAGGGUUUCCAAACUUUACCUGUCAUCACUGCCGUGUCUGUUGUUCUCGUGCUGCUUCUCAUUGCCCUUUUAUUCACUGGACUGAUACAGUGGAAAAAGAAGAACCAAGCCUCAUCUUCAGCCCAAUCCUUAAAAAGCUCCUCAAACCCUG